rnacentral:lncRNA from 1 species
AUUAAUAACUGCUAUUUUAAGCAUUCUCCAUGUACAAGGCACUGGGCUAUGCAUUCCCUAUUUGUUAUCUCAUUUAAUCCUCACGGCAACCCUAUGAAUUAAGUACUAUUAUUAGCUUCUUUCUAAAGACUGGGAAAAAAUUAAUCUUUGAGUGAUUAAAUCACUUGCCCAGGGCCUCAUAGCUGGCCAGUAAAAGAUUCUAGACUUGAAUUCAGUAUUAUCUCAAACUGAACAAUAGGGCAUAGAUUCCCAAGUAGAGGGAGGCACUGCCAUGGACCAUCUGAGUCAGCCUGCUGGUCGUGCAGAAGUAAAAUAUCAUCAUCCCAUUAUAGAGAUGUGGAAAGGAGGACCAGAGAAGAUUUAGAAGCCCUAAAUCACACAAGAAGUGAGCAGAAGAGCAAGUUCUGGAACCAGGAUGCCUGUCUCCAAGAAAAUGACUCAGAAUAAACAGCCAGUUUGUUGUCAGUCGAACAGAUUUUCAAUGAAGAAAGUGUAGGUUUUACUAAUGGAAAUGGCCUUCUGUGUAUACCGAACUGAGUUUGUGGACAUUAAAAGCUAUUUGACAUGCACCGAUCUUUUACCGAUCCUUUCGUGCCCUCUUCAAACCACCCUUACUUCUCCAGAAUUAAGAGAGACACGAUCAGGAGAGACCAAUGAACUAGGAGCUGCAAGAAAUUUUUGCUCAACUAACAACUUGCUGUGUGACCUCAGGCCAGCACUUUUCCUCUCUGCACCUCAGUUCCUUUCACCAUAAAAUGAGAGCCUUGGAAUAAUGAUCUCCAUGGCUCCUUUCAACUCUGACAUUUGGGAGAUCUACAAAAAUGCUCCAAGAUAUUAGAAGCGUUCCAUUUAAACACCUGGCCACUUUAGAAGGGCUUUGCAUAUAUAUUGUAUUUCACUUGCUAAAUCGCCAAAUAAACCUGACACGAGUGAGCCCCA